rnacentral:rRNA from 1 species
GACAUCCUCUGACAACCCUAGAGAUAGGGCUUUCCCUUCGGGGACAGAGUGACAGGUGGUGCAUGGUUGUCGUCAGCUCGUGUCGUGAGAUGUUGGGUUAAGUCCCGCAACGAGCGCAACCCUUGAUCUUAGUUGCCAGCAUUCAGUUGGGCACUCUAAGGUGACUGCCGGUGACAAACCGGAGGAAGGUGGGGAUGACGUCAAAUCAUCAUGCCCCUUAUGACCUGGGCUACACACGUGCUACAAUGGACAGAACAAAGGGCUGCGAGACCGCAAGGUUUAGCCAAUCCCACAAAUCUGUUCUCAGUUCGGAUCGCAGUCUGCAACUCGACUGCGUGA